CAAGAAUAAAGUUCAGAAAAUCCAAUCCAAUCCAAUUUGGCUAAACAAAGAAAUGAAAAUGAGGAGUCUGAGGAGCUCUACCAGACCCAGCCUAGCGCAACCUGCGAUUCUGCCUGGGGAGAAAUAAGAAGCAGGGCUUGAAGCCUCUCGUACCAGUCUGCGGGGUCAGCCUGACCAGGGCUGCCCUGCUCCCCUGCUCAAAAGCAUUGCCCAGAAUGCAAGCUCACUUCCUCCAAGAAGAUCUCCCUGAUUACCUGGCCCUGGACUAAAGUUAAGCCCUCAGCCGCGUGGAGGGUGGUCAAAGCCCAAUCUACCACAGUUUGCUAUGUGACCUGGGCAAAUCAGGUAACCUCUCUGUACACAGCAAGCCAGCAAGGUACCUCUGAGGAUCGAAUGAGACGGCGUUCAGAAAGUGCAUGGUUUAGAUGCCUGGCUACCGGGAGCCACAAUUCCACAGCAUAACGCGUUGUCCCCGACAGCGUGCUCUCAGCCCCCUCAGGGAGAGCCCUCCAUCCCCCUCUCUCCCACCUUCCAGUGCCCCCAGGGACUGCACACAUCAGAGCACACACAGAGCUACGCUCUCCACACACACUGUCACGUUUACGCUCAAUCCUCCCAGUGGCCCUGCAAAGGGCUGGGCUCCCGCGUCCUGCUUCGGUGACAAGGCAGGGGUCCUGCCCACCAGCUGUCCACUCUCCUGGAAGGUGACGCAGCAGAUGGUCCUCUCAGCCAUGCACGGAGAGACUGCAACGGCAGGACAAAGGGCUGGGGCGACAAAGCCAACUGUGCAUUAGGAACCCGGAGGUGGAAAAGAAGAAGAGAGUGAAACCAGAAUCCCACUCCCUCUUCCCACUUAUGUUUGAAGAAAAGCACCAUAAAGCAGAAACUAAUAUUUUUUUACAACCCCUUAACAACGUAUCCUCUGUGCUAGCAUGCUGUAAAUAAAUGUCAGCCCCUCGUUAUACAUGUGGUUUAUUUUAAACACGAGCAGAGAGGAAACUGAGUCUCUUGUUGAAAAUGUGUGUGUGUGUGCGCGCGCAUCUGGUCUGGGACACCCAGGUACAGUUCGGCUGUUUGUACACGUCCAGAAUGCUUCUGAGUGUACAAAUGUGAAGUCGUGUUAACUAUAGGCACAUU